AUGCUUGCUUUGGCAGCACAUAUACUAAAAUUGGAAUGAUACGGAGAAGAUUAGCAUAGCCCCUGCACAAGGAUGACAUGCAAAUUUGUGAAGUAUUCCAUGUUUUU
rnacentral:snRNA from 1 species